AGAGUUUGAUCCUGGCUCAGGACGAACGCUGGCGGCGUGCCUAAUACAUGCAAGUAGAACGCUGAAGGGAGGAGCUUGCUCUUCUUGGAUGAGUUGCGAACGGGUGAGUAACGCGUAGGUAACCUGCCUUGUAGCGGGGGAUAACUAUUGGAAACGAUAGCUAAUACCGCAUAACAAUGGAUGACACAUGUCAUUUAUUUGAAAGGGGCAAUUGUUCUACUACAAGAUGGACCUGCGUUGUAUUAGCUAGUAGGUGAGGUAAUGGCUCACCUAGGCGACGAUACAUAGCCGACCUGAGAGGGUGAUAGGCCACACUGGGACUGAGACACGGCCCAGACUCCUACGGGAGGCAGCAGUAGGGAAUCUUCGGCAAUGGGGGCAACCCUGACCGAGCAACGCUGCGUGAGUGAAGAAGGUUCUCGGAUCGUAAAGCUCUGUUGUAAGUCAAGAACGGGUGUGAGAGUGGAAAGUUCACACUGUGACGGUAGCUUACCAGAAAGGGACGGCUAACUACGUGCCAGCAGCCGCGGUAAUACGUAGGUCCCGAGCGUUGUCCGGAUUUAUUGGGCGUAAAGCGAGCGCAGGCGGUUUGAUAAGUCUGAAGUUAAAGGCUGUGGCUCAACCAUAGUUCGCUUUGGAAACUGUCAAACUUGAGUGCAGAAGGGGAGAGUGGAAUUCCAUGUGUAGCGGUGAAAUGCGUAGAUAUAUGGAGGAACACCGGUGGCGAAAGCGGCUCUCUGGUCUGUAACUGACGCUGAGGCUCGAAAGCGUGGGGAGCGAACAGGAUUAGAUACCCUGGUAGUCCACGCCGUAAACGAUGAGUGCUAGGUGUUGGAUCCUUUCCGGGAUUCAGUGCCGCAGCUAACGCAUUAAGCACUCCGCCUGGGGAGUACGACCGCAAGGUUGAAACUCAAAGGAAUUGACGGGGGCCCGCACAAGCGGUGGAGCAUGUGGUUUAAUUCGAAGCAACGCGAAGAACCUUACCAGGUCUUGACAUCCCGAUGCUAUUUCUAGAGAUAGAAAGUUACUUCGGUACAUCGGUGACAGGUGGUGCAUGGUUGUCGUCAGCUCGUGUCGUGAGAUGUUGGGUUAAGUCCCGCAACGAGCGCAACUCCUAUUGUUAGUUGCCAUCAUUCAGUUGGGCACUCUAGCGAGACUGCCGGUAAUAAACCGGAGGAAGGUGGGGAUGACGUCAAAUCAUCAUGCCCCUUAUGACCUGGGCUACACACGUGCUACAAUGGUUGGUACAACGAGUUGCGAGUCGGUGACGGCGAGCUAAUCUCUUAAAGCCAAUCUCAGUUCGGAUUGUAGGCUGCAACUCGCCUACAUGAAGUCGGAAUCGCUAGUAAUCGCGGAUCAGCACGCCGCGGUGAAUACGUUCCCGGGCCUUGUACACACCGCCCGUCACACCACGAGGGUUUGUAACACCCGAAGUCGGUGAGGUAACCUUUUGGAGCCAGCCGCCUAAGGUGGGACAGAUGAUUGGGGUGAAGUCGUAACAAGGUA
rnacentral:rRNA from 1 species